rnacentral:rRNA from 1 species
UACGAAGGGGGCUAGCGUUGCUCGGAAUCACUGGGCGUAAAGGGUGCGUAGGCGGGUUAUUAAGUCAGAGGUGAAAUCCUGGAGCUCAACUCCAGAACUGCCUUUGAUACUGAUAGUCUUGAGUAUGGGGAGGUGUGAGGUGAACUGCGAGUGUAGAGGUGAAAUUCGUAGAUAUUCGCAAGAACACCGGUGGCGAAGGCGGGUCUCUGGGCCGAUACUGACGCUGAGGUGCGAAAGCGUGGGGAGCAAACAGG